AGACAGGAACGUGGCGUGGAACCCAGCAGGGCCCUGGCGGUGACCCCGGGUAAGCCCCGCCCCCUCCCCUCCCCGUUCAGUUAACUGUUUGGGCUGCGGCGGACGGAACCCAGCGAAAGUGCACGCCCCGCGGGCCGGCGUGGGCGCGUGUGUGAUCUUAACCCCGCGGGGGCGGGGGUGCGGGCGGCAGUGGCGGGAGAACCCUGGGCGGCGGCUGUGGAGGCGGGCGGCCCAGCCAGAGCCGGUGUCUCCGCGCCUUAUAAGGGCUUCGAGUCGGCCCAGGCAUCUGGAAUGUGUCAGGGACCAGGAGGCGGUGCCCGGACCCCCGCCCGCCUCCGGGGCUGCCCGCCCUCUCCCGGAUUUCCGGGGGGUGGGGACCCCGACUCUCAGGGUUGGAGGCCUGCAUUUCUGGAUCCCUAUAAACAUGGGCUGAGAGCCCCCCCAAGAGCAUCUCUAAGACCGGAGUGGGCAGGGACCCGGGCCUCUGAGGGGCUCAGGCUCCAGGCCGGAAACUGCACGCGGUGCUGGCGUCAGGCCCGAGGCCCAGCUACGCCUCCCACGGCCUCCCUAAUCGCCAUUCGGGGCUUGCGGGAGCACCUGGGAGGCUCCACCCGGAGCCAGACACUGCCUGCCCCCACGCCCCUCCAGGACCCUCGAAGGAGAAGGAAAUCGGGACUGGCCCAGCGUCCCGUGCUCUAGAAGGCGGGCUACUGCCCCGUCCCAAGCAGGGGAGGAGGACGAGCGAGGGCGUCACUCAUUCUGUCCCCCGCGGAAGGAUGAGGAAGCUCUGUUUACCUAAAUGAAAAGCUUUCUAGGAGGAAGUCCUAAGUGAACAAUGAUGCAUGAGGAUGCAAUCUUACAGGCAAGGAGCCCAGUGAUAACAAAUGGCUGUAGAUGCUUUUCCUCCAUCAAGCUUCCAGGAGGAGAUGAGAUGGAGCCCAUCGCUGAGCCAAGGUCACCAGCCCCAUUUCACAAAUGUAAAUAGCAGGUGUCCCCCACACAGUCUGAACACUUGGAGGCCAAGAUUCAUUUCUCUCAGGGCCCACCAUCCUCAAGCAUGGGAUUGAUUUAGUGCCUCUUGCUGGGAAGCAAAGUUCUGGGAGCCAUAGUGGGAUCCUCCCUCCCUCCCUGCAGGAGACUGGGGCCCUUCCAAGCAGCAACUGAGACCAGUCAACAACCUCUGCCUUAGGCCAGGCGCGGUGGCUCACGCCUGUAAUCCCAACACUUUGGGAGGCUGAGGCGGGCAGAU
rnacentral:lncRNA from 1 species